UAUGUUUUAAUGAGGAGUUAAUGUCAUUGGUGUAACCUGUAAAUGUAACUAUAGCUUAAAGGGUCCCAUCAAAUAAUCUUCAAUCUAAUAUAAAGGGUAGCCAGACUCGAUACACAAAGAAACCACACACUUUAGCAUUAUUCAAAUUCAAAGUAGCAAAGCAAAGAUGAGAAAAAAAUUAGCAACAAAAGUUAUUGGUUUAACUUCAGCUCACUGAACAGCUCGGAGCUUCAGUACAAUGGUUGAAGAUGAGUGUUUAGUUUUGUCAUUCAUAAACAUUUUCAUGUUAUCGACUGUAAUUUUUUUGAUUAAAUCAGGUAUAAAUUACAAGGGUCUCCUGCACGAAUUAUUACAAAAGGAAUGACCUUAUUCUGAGCCGAUUUAUAUCACCGAAAAAUAUGGUGAAGAUCACAUGCCAUCAUUUGAUGCAAAAGUGGAGAUAAAAUGGUUGAGUUAUCAUGCAUGUGAAAAAUGUAGAACUAAAGAAGGAUGCUCAGAUGAGUGCAGCCAAAAUGGCUUACACAACUUUGAUGGAGCCCAAA